rnacentral:rRNA from 1 species
GAUGAACGCUGGCGGCGUGCCUAACACAUGCAAGUCGAGCGAUUCUCUUCGGAGAAGAGCGGCGGACGGGUGAGUAACGCGUGGGUAACCUGCCCUGUACACACGGAUAACAUACCGAAAGGUAUGCUAAUACGAGAUAAUAUGCUUUUAUCGCAUGGUAGAAGUAUCAAAGCUCCGGCGGUACAGGAUGGACCCGCGUCUGAGUAGCGAGUUGGUAAGGUAACGGCUUACCAAGGCGACGAUCAGUAGCCGACCUGAGAGGGUGAUCGGCCACAUUGGAACUGAGACACGGUCCAAACUCCUACGGGAGGCAGCAGUGGGGAAUAUUGCACAAUGGGCGAAAGCCUGGUGCAGCAACGCCGCGUGAGCGAUGAAGGCCUUCGGGUCGUAAAGCUCUGUCCUCAAGGAAGAUAAUGACGGUACUUGAGGAGGAAGCCCCGGCUAACUACGUGCCAGCCGCCGCGGUAA